AUUUUUGUGCCGACAUUAUUUCAUUUACCGCAACCUGCCGUUGAUCUUGAUUUUUCCGCUGCGCUCUCGAAGGAGAGGAAGGGGGUAAGGAGGAGGAAAGAAAUAGGACGGCAUUAAGUGGCAGCAUCAAAGUUCAUUUCUGAGCCCCAACUUUCAAAUGGGAUAUCAUCAUUGCAAAAUAUUGCUGACUUCUCCACGCAACCUGAAAAGAUAUCCUAUCCUCAGCUAGUUACUGUUACCUGCACUGGAGUUAUCUGGUCUGUGAUUACAUCAGCAAGAUUUCUUUUCCGUGGUACAAGAUGUUCCUGUGGAAGGGUAAUAAGCAAAAUAUUUCCACACUUUCCAGCAGUCAAUGUUUCUAUGUUUCAACUGAUUUGACUGUUAUCGAAAAGGGAGUAUACUAUUGUGGAGUCAUCUGCUGCUUGUCCGUUUAGGUUAUUCUGAUAUUUGCAGUGAAGUUUGUAUAUGCCCUAAAAUCGGUCAAUAAUCUGUACCUAGAAAUUUCUGGAGGGCAAUCACGUUUCCUGUUCUUGUUUGGGUGAUUGUAUGGAAGCUUGAUGUGAAAUGGUGUAUGAUAUGGAAUGGUGGCAUCCUUGAAUGAAUCCUGGAAUAUUCACGUUUUGUUCCAUCUUAAGACGGAGGGAAUUAGUUCUA